rnacentral:rRNA from 1 species
AUUGAACGCUGGCGGCAUGCUUUACACAUGCAAGUCGAACGGCAGCACGGGCUUCGGCCUGGUGGCGAGUGGCGAACGGGUGAGUAAUAUAUCGGAACGUACCCAGAAGUGGGGGAUAACGUAGCGAAAGUUACGCUAAUACCGCAUACGAUCUAUGGAUGAAAGCAGGGGACCGCAAGGCCUUGUGCUCCUGGAGCGGCCGAUAUCUGAUUAGCUAGUUGGUGAGGUAAAGGCUCACCAAGGCGACGAUCAGUAGCUGGUCUGAGAGGACGACCAGCCACACUGGAACUGAGACACGGUCCAGACCCCUACGGGAGGCAGCAGUGGGGAAUUUUGGACAAUGGGCGCAAGCCUGAUCCAGCAAUGCCGCGUGAGUGAAGAAGGCCUUCGGGUUGUAAAGCUCUUUUGUCAGGGAAGAAACGGUAGAGGCUAAUAUCCUUUGCUAAUGACGGUACCUGAAGAAUAAGCACCGGCUAACUACGUG